GACAGAGGAUGCAAGCGUUAUCCGGAAUGAUUGGGCGUAAAGCGUCUGUAGGUGGCUUUUCAAGUCCGCCGUCAAAUCCCAGGGCUCAACCCUGGACAGGCGGUGGAAACUACCAAGCUGGAGUACGGUAGGGGCAGAGGGAAUUUCCGGUGGAGCGGUGAAAUGCAUUGAGAUCGGAAGGAACGCCCGUGGCGAAAGCGAGGUCCUGGACGCCUACUGACGCUGAGACGCGAAAGCCAGGGGAGCGAACGGG
rnacentral:rRNA from 1 species